rnacentral:rRNA from 1 species
GACGAACGCUGGCGGCGUGCUUAACACAUGCAAGUCGAACGGGAUUUAGUAAACGGAAGCCUCGGUGGAAGAUUACUAAUGAGAGUGGCGAACGGGUGAGUAACGCGUGAGCAACCUGCCUAUGACAGUGGGAUAGCCUCGGGAAACCGGGAUUAAUACCGCAUAAAAUCGUAGAAACACAUGUUUCAACGGUCAAAGAUUUAUCGGUCAUAGAUGGGCUCGCGUCUGAUUAGCUAGUUGGUGAGAUAACAGCCCACCAAGGCGACGAUCAGUAGCCGGUCUGAGAGGAUGAACGGCCACAUUGGAACUGAGAAACGGUCCAAACUCCUACGGGAGGCAGCAGUGGGGAAUAUUGCACAAUGGGGGAAACCCUGAUGCAGCGACGCCGCGUGAACGAAGAAGGUAUUCGUAUCGUAAAGUUCUGUCCUAUGGGAAGAUAAUGACAGUACCAUAGAAGAAAGCUCCGGCUAAAUACGUG